CAUCAAAAGAUGCAUUUAGCCUUUUAGCUUCUUAGGCCAGUGGGAAGAUAUAGUUUCCAUCCUAAUAUCUGCUUUACCUGGGGGGAGAGCAGCCAUGUGUUUCUUUGUGCUCCACUCCACCUGCCAGCUGUGCCUUCUCUUGUGUUCGUUCUCCUCUGCACUGCCCCAUCCUAUGCUUGCUUUAGUGUACAAAUCCCAGAAACCAACUUCUCCAUUUUCUCUGAAUUAGGAAAUAUUAUCCCAGCCAGAGCAUUGUUGAAAAAUUAAAUUUAACAAAUAAAAGCAUAGUGACGUUUUAAAUAUAAAUCAGACACAUCCCCAGGAUUUGCUUUUAACUGCACACCUUCUAAGAAAUUAUAUUUUUACUCCCAGCAAAUUACCUAGCAGGAAGAAAAUGACAAGAGUAAUCUAUUUUUUUCACAGCUGGUCGGUUGGCCAGAGUUUCUCAUCAAGGCGUGCAUGCUGUUUGCUCCGCAGAUGGACAGCCUGGAUGAGCCAAAUCCAUGGAGCCUGGGACACAAGAUCCCCAUCAGAACUGAAGUCCCCAUCAGACUUUGCCUCCUUUUUCUGGGGAUCCCCCUCGGCACAAGUGUUCAGGGGAGCAGAAUAAUGAUGUGCCCAAGGAAUGUGCACUCCUGCAAGGAAGCCCUCGGUGCCAAAUGGUUGACAUUCCCUCAUGGUCUCACCACAUUGAAUAAAUGCAUUUAAAGUGGGAUUAGUUUGUGAGUCCCCAGCUGGAGUUAUAAUACAUUUUCUAUUCAGGUAUGUGCUGCUACUGUUUAUCUCUACAAAAUAAAUAUUAAAAUUGCAUUUGAAUCUCACAUUAAAUUUAUAUUCAUGCUAUUACAAUUUUAUUUCUGUCAAGUGAUAUUCAGUUUUCAGACAUAAGGCAGAUGUAAGAGCACACAGGCAAAUAAAAGCAGUUAUAAUUAUUUCAGUUUCUCCUGAUUGUCUCCUUAAAAUGUCACCCUGGCCAGUUCCUUUUGUCAUGUGUGACCUGUGGAAUGACGAAGGGGCAGAUGAAUA
rnacentral:lncRNA from 1 species